UACGAAGGGUCCUAGCGUUGUUCGGAAUUACUGGGCGUAAAGGGCGCGUAGGCGGCCUAUUAAGUCAGGUGUGAAAGCCCCGAGCUUAACUUGGGAACUGCACUUGAUACUGGUAGGCUAGAGAUCGGAAGAGGUGAGUGGAAUUCCUAGUGUAGAGGUGAAAUUCGUAGAUAUUAGGAAGAACACCAGUGGCGAAGGCGGCUCACUGGUCCGAUACUGACGCUAAGGCGCGAAAAGCGUGGGGAGCAAACAGG
rnacentral:rRNA from 1 species